rnacentral:tRNA from 1 species
GCCGGGAUGGCGGAACUGGUAGACGCGGUAGACUCAAAAUCUAUUGCCUGUGAGGGCGUGUCGGUUCGAUUCCGACUCUCGGUACCA